rnacentral:rRNA from 1 species
GACGAACGCUGGCGGUGUGCCUAAUACAUGCAAGUAGAACGCAGUUGCGAACGGGUGAGUAACGCGUAGGUAACUGCCUCAUAGCGGGGGAUAACUAUUGGAAACGAUAGCUAAAACCGCAUACUGUGAGAUGGACCUGCGUUGGAUUAGCUCGUUGGUGAGGUAAAGGCUCACCAAGGCGACGAUACAUAGCCGGACUGAGAGGGUGAUCGGCCACACGUGGACUUGGAAACGGCCCAGGAUCCUACGGGGGGGAAGCGUGGGGAAUUUUCGGAAAGGGACGGAAGUCCUGCCGCGCAAAGCCGCGGUAGUGAAGAAGGUUUUCUGAUUGGAAAGGUCUGUUGUUCGGGGAGCGGUAACUAACCAGAAAGCGACGGCUAACUACGUGCCAGCAGCCGCGGUAAUAC